UCAAGUAAUUGGUUACAAAGAAAAAUUCAUAAAAUUUUCAAGUAGAGAUUUUAUAGGCCAUAUUCUCUCCUUAUAAUCCAAUAAAACUAGAUACUUUAGAAGUCUAAAAAUGUCAAAAGAUCCUAAGUACUGGAAAUUAAGAAACACAUUCUUAAAUAAUCCUUGGAUCAAAGAGAAACCAAAACAAAAUUACAAACUAUUUAAAAACUGAUAAAAGUAGAGUAUCUUAUUCCAAAACCUAUAGUACACAGCUAAAGAUGUACUCAGGGGAAAAUUAAUAGCCUUAAAUGUUAUUGUCACUAAAAAAAGAUCUAAAUAGAAGAAAUUUUACAUCAAUUUUAUAAACAUUUGGAAAAAAAGAACAUUUAAAUAAACCAUGAGAAAACAGGAAAAAAUCAACAAAAUAGAAAAAACAAACCACAACAAGUAGAAAUGACAAAUUAAUUCCAAACUGCUUCUUUCACAAAGCCAAUAAAAUGGACGAAUCUCUCACAAUCCUGGUUAAGGAGAAGAGAGAGCAGAAUUACAUCAGAUUAGAAAGUGGAAAGGAGACAGAGCCACAGUUAAAGGAGAGACUGAACUGUUGUCAGAACAUUAUGAGUAACUCUACAGCAUCACAUUUUUACAACUAAAGAAAACGGAUUAUUUUCCAGGAAAUAAGCUCUCGAGUUUGACCAAGAAGUAGGAAACUUGACUUUGUCCAUGAUCAGAGAAGCCAUUAGAAAGAUGAUUUGAGAGCGGUGAUUUAAAAAUGCAGCAGGGCAGCACUGUCCCCCCCCCGACAGAGCUCUUCAGAGUAGGAGAGGGGAUUAACGUGGGAGGGGAGAGGGGGAGGUGAGAAGGAGCAGAGACGAGAGGAUUUGGGGAGGGGACAGUAGAAAGGUGUUCCACGACAGAAAAAGAGUUUAAGACGGGGUUUCCUCUAAAGCCCUCUCCUCCCCAGUCCCACCUUUAGAUUCCUUCUUUCUCUAAUGACUGCUCAUUAACGUUCAGCCACAAAUACAUAUGUUCAGUCACUGCUGGCAGUUUGGGGUGGCAGUGGAAACUGUCUGGUGGCCUGCUCCCAGGUGAUCUCAUGGUGGUGGUGUGAAUCCGUAAGUUUAGGACUCUUGCCUCUACUCAGUUGGCAGGGGGCGGGGUGGGUGGGCAGUGAGACCGGGAAGUGCUGGUGAAGGUGGGACAAGGUCACUGCAGGGAGCUUUCCUGUCCCAUGAGACCAUGUGGGCCACUUCAGAGGACAUCUGGGCAUCUGCCCAGGGACUGUGGGCAGGGUGACCUGCACUGGGCAGACUUCUUAGAAGGGUGGGGAUUUUCAUUUGUGCCCCGUCCUCAUCCAUGACCAGGACAGAGAGAGACAGCCUCUGCCCACUGGCCUGGCUUCAUGAGAUUUGUUCUGUCUCCAGGAAGAACUUGUUUAAGUACAUUUGGGAAAUACCAUCAAUUUUCUGCAUCUUACCCCCAAAAGUGUUUUUAAAAAACAUUUCAUCACUCUUUGGUUGACUUCUCAGCAAACACAUUCAGUGAUUAACACUACUUCAUCCGGGCAUUUCUUUCUUACAUCAGCCUAGUAGGUAAUUUGUUUCUCUACAAAUACAUAAAUAUCUGGCCAUCUUGAUCCUAGUGUAUAUAGAAUUUCUGGGGCCCGUGGUUUUUCCAGACUUGCUGGGCAUAUUUUUUUCCUUUUUCUGACUAACUUAGCUUUUAUCCAUUUGUCUUCAAAUGCAUUUGGUAGCUUGUAAUACAGUUUUAACUUUUCAUUCCUAGGGGGGUUAAAGUGAAGGGGAAGAGACAUUGAUGUCCAAGUGAGAUGAAACAAUUUUCACAUCCAACUAGUUUCCCUCUCCUGGUAAUCCAAUAAAAGACAAUUCCCAUCCAAUUCAAUUCUUGGAUGGAGCUUCUCAAGGGCUUUAUGGAAAGGAGAGAUGGUCUUGGGUUAUCUUUGGUUUGGAUAUCUCUUGUUAGAAUACCUUAGGGGGGGUUGGCUUUAGGUCAAGUGGUUACUUCGUCAUGGCAGAUAUUAGACUACCUUAGGGGUUUCCCUUCCAUUUUGUGUAACUGAGCCCUGGUUGGAAGCCUGGGAGGGAGCUGAAGCCCUCCUGUUCCUGUAGAGGCAGCAUGAGUCACAGGACGGGGUGGGGGGCCACCUGGCCUGCACACUCCCUUCCGACCCCAAGAUUCUAUGAGCCUCCCUGCUCUUCCUGCUGGAAACUCCUGGGUUUCUGAAGGGUCAUGGUUUUUACUUCCCCCACAGUGGUGAGCCUACUGGCAGAGGGGGAAACAGAGGGAGGAGGUGGAGGAUGGCGAGUCUUAGACAUGGUUCCCAGACAUUCGUGUGGAAGGGGGUAUAGUUUAAAACUAGUGCACAUCACCGGGUCUGUCAGUUCUCUGAGAGUCUCAUGGCACAUCUUCCUGAGUCCAGUCAUACUAAUCUCAUUUUCUUGUGUCGCCCUGUUUCCCAAGAAUCUUCAUACUGUCACCCAGCAGGUAAAUGGCUUUGUGGCUAUGUCUGUUAUACACAGAACCUGGCAUAUCCUUUGGGCCUGCUGACAGCCCAUCAACUCCUAACCAUCAUUAUGUUGAUCACCUGUAUCACACAUGGGCCAAGUACUGCUUAUAGGCCAGAUCUAGCUGGCUGCCUGUUUCAUCAAGUCUUUUUUGGAACUCAACCACAUUCAUUCAUUUAAAUACCAUCCAAGGCUAUUUUUUUUUUUUUGCUACAGUGACAGAAUUGGGUAUUUUCGAAAGAGACUGUAUGUCUUCCAGAGCCAAAAAUAUUUACUAUAUGACCCUUUCCAGAAAAAAUUUGUUAACUCCUUAGCUAUAUGUAACUAAAGAAUGAAUGCAAACUAAUGACUACAUGGAUUGGGAAGCCAAAUUGCAAAAUUCGUGGAUAAUUGUUUGUUCUUCUAGAGUCAAGGGUAACUAGUUAAAUAUCAAACAUUUCAUGGAACCUCCCAAUACCCACAAGCAAGUAAGAAAAUGGAAUAAACUUCCCUAGCUCUUCACCAAUGAGCUCAAGCAUUUCCUCAACUGAAAUUUCUACCCAUAGUUGCUGGUUUGAGCUGCACUGAGGAAUGCUUAUCCUUCAUAAUAAAAGUCACAUAUAGGAUUCUAAUUAAUUCCUUCCUGCUGUGGAAUAUAAUCUUGCUCAUUACUCUGACCACUAACUGCUCAAGACUCCCUGUCUAGACACUUUGAGUGCCCUAGUUGCCCCUGUUUUGACUUUAAAACUUUAUCAGUGUGAAAUUCCUCUUUCAUGUAAAGCUGUAUGUGUCCCAGCCACUAGCUCUGUGCACUGUGGUGCCUUCAGUUCUUUGCACAUGUCCCCUGAAUUUUCACCCUGAAUUCUGUGUGUCUGCCUAGGAACAUUCAGCAAAUUCAGUUUUGAAGCCUCUAUUAUUUAGUUAAGCAUGCCAACAAGAUUAUCUCUUAAUUACUUCCCCAAAAUACUAAAUACAAAUAACAUUCUUGUUUUAAGUCUAUGACAUUUAAAACACCACGCCUUGCUUCUGACUCCAGGAAGCUCAUGACCAACUUCCUCUAAUGUCAUGUGAUGGAUAGUUAAGGCGAUUUGGACAGAGAGUGAAAGCCAGUAUCGGGAAAGAGAGCUUUAGGUGAGUUUGCUUCCACACAGGUGCAAGGAAGGGCAAAGAAGGAGGGAGCUGCAGCUGAUUGAGGCCACAGAGAACCGACACAAGGUCCAGGCAAAGAACAUUUCUGCCUGGAGCUUGACUAGUCACCGCUGGGGGCCUUCUCUUCUUCACUGCUUCUCACUGUCAGAUCUUCACAUCUGCUUCCCUUGAGUUUCAGCUGACUACCUUGCUUUACUUCAUUAAGAAAAUAGAAAUGGAAAACGUCAGCUCUAAGAGCAUGGAGACCUUCUCUUGUUCACAAGGACCCCAACAGCUAGAAUAGUCCCUGCACAUGGUAGACCCUCAGCAAAUAUUUGUUGGAUAAAUGUGGAAAAUGACACUACUAAGACCUCCCCUGUGGAUUCAGUUUCAAGGACUACAGGAGGACAAACCAGCCUGACUCUGAAGACACUGGACCCCAUGAUGGUACAUGUGCCCAUCUGGCAUAAGACACAACCAUCUUGGGUCUUUAUUUGAUGAGCAGAGAGGAUGAGCAUCUCACCAGGCCAUGGCGGUGAAGG